GACAGAGGGUGCAAACGUUGUUCGGAAUUACUGGGCGUAAAGCGUGCGUAGGCGGUCUCAUAAGUCGGGUGUGAAAGCCCUGGGCUCAACCCAGGAAGUGCAUUCGAUACUGCCGAGCUUGAGUCCUGGAGAGGAAGGCGGAAUUCUCGGUGUAGAGGUGAAAUUCGUAGAUAUCGAGAGGAACACCAGUGGCGAAGGCGGCCUUCUGGACAGUGACUGACGCUGAGACGCGAAAGCGUGGGGAGCAAACAGG
rnacentral:rRNA from 1 species